CAGUUACAGACCAGCGACAGCAACCUGACUGCAGAGAGAGACCAGCUACAGACUAGCAACAACACGCUGACCAAAGAGAGAGACCAGCUACAGAUCAGAUACAACACCCUGACCAGAGAGAGGGACCAGCUACAGAUCAGAUACAACACCCUGACCAGAGAGAGGGACCAGCUACAGACCAGAUACAACUCCCUGACCAGAGAGAGAGACCAGCUACAAUCUUUAGUUGAGAAAGUGUGUCCUCAAGGAUGGAAAAAGCUUGGUAGCAGUUGUUACUACGUCUCUACUGAGUACAAAUCCUGGGAGGAGAGCAGACAGGACUGCAGAAAUAGAGGAGCACACCUGGUGGUUAUCAACAGCCAAGAGAAACAGACAUUAGUCAAUUGGUUAUGCGGGGUAAAGAACUAUGUCUGGAUUGGUCUGACUGACUCUGUUUCUGAGAGGACCUGGAAAUGGGUGGACGACACACCACUGACCAAAAAGUAUUGGAACAGUGGAGAGCCUAAUGGUGGAAGAGCUGAGAACUGUGUAUAUUUCUACUCCUGGUCAUCAGACACAGGAGAAUGGUGGGACUAUGACUGUUCCCAUCAAUACAGAUGGAUCUGUGAGAAAUAGGAUUCAUCCUCGGUACUCUCAACUGCUAAAUAGGAUUAUGAUAAGUACUAUCAAUCGUAAACUAUUUUCUGCUUAUUCUAUUUACCUUGUCAAGUACAUACAAUAUAUUACGAUGCAAAUGUAUAAUACAUUAUAAUAAAAAUAACAAAAAAUAUACAAUAACAAUACAAUGAACUGAUAACAGAAUAACUUUUCUGUCUGUUGUUGUGGAAAUUCACCUCUAAGGACUCAAAUUCAAAGGAAAUGAAUCAAUCUUUAUUAUCUCAGUCAUCGAGGUUCACUGACUCAAUACAAGGCUGAUGUUAAUUUUUUUUUUUAUUACUUUUUAGUUUAGUCUACUUGCUAAAUGUUUUUGUGAACUCUUCUUGAACUGCACUGUUAGUUGAGGGCUUGUAAGUAAGCAUUUCACGGUAAAGUCUACACUUCUUGUAUUCGGAGCAUGUGACUAAUAAAGUUUGAUUUGAUUUGA